GCGUCCGUGGCGGAACUCGAAGACGUGCCGGAUUCAGGCUCUGGUGCCCGUGGUCGGGCGUGCAGGUUCGACUCCUGCCGGACGUA
rnacentral:tRNA from 1 species